UUCUUUUCAGAGUAUUUGGUUUAUGUCCUUUGCACCUGACAGUUAAGGUUUCUGAUUCCUGCGCAGUGCUGUUCCUCUAAGGACAUUGCUCUAUGGAUAAAGGGGGAAAGCCUUUAAGACAAGUUUGGCUUGGUGAUUGCUCCCACGUCAGCUGCUCCCUGCUUGCUGAUUUACUGACUGAUUGAUCAAUUCAUUUUAUUUAAAGUAUAUGAAUCUUUUACCUGCAUGUAUGUCUGUGCACCAUGUGUGUGUGUGUGGUGCCUGUGGUGAUCAGAAGAAGGUACCCUGCCCCUAGAACUGAAGUUACAGAUGUUGGUUAACUGCCACAUGGGUGCUGGGAAUAGAAGCCAGAUCUCUGCAAGAACAGCAAAUGCUCUUAACAGAUGAGACAGUUUUCCAGCCCCAAACAAUGCUAUAUUUUUAAGGAUCAGCAGUUAUUAGGUUAUACAAAUGAUUACAUUUCAUCAGAGUUGAGCAUCAAACCUUAGGUGGUACUUUUAAGAAGAUCAUGCAUUGCCCUGAAUUAAGUUAGUCCCUGGACUGCUCCUCAGUGCUCCCAUAUCACAAAGUCCUAACUUGUUACACCAGCAAUGCUACAAGUAAUGUUUAAAUUCUAAAUACUAACAUUAUUAAUUUAAAAUUAUAAGUUCCAAACACUAUCAUUCACUAGUAUUUUUUCCAACAGAGAUAAUAGCCAAUAUUUUUUGGGAAAAUGGAGUGCUCUACAUGAAACCGACUCUAUGUGAUGAAUCACAAUGACAACAAAUUGAAUAUAACACUUGGCAAAGCCCGAUGCAAUGUGAUAAAUUACAGCACAUCAUAUUUUAUCUCAAUUCCUUACAUGUAACCCUGGGGUAAAGAAUUGAAAAUUACCCUUUGAAAGCAUUUAUGACAACUCAAUUAAAGAGAAGCCUUUCCAAUGUUAUAAAAACAAAGACAUUUACAGGACUUGCAACUGCAUCUACAGAUCUCUGCGUGAAACAGCGUCCUCCUGUUCGAUUAGCACCUGCCCCACACUUACAUGUCCUGAAGGCAAGUCUGGGAGUUCCCACAAAGGCUAAGAGACUCUCAAAGUUAACACUAUUCUUUUCCUCCUCUGUAGAAAGUCUGCUGACCUCUGCCACAGAGAAAGUACAUAUGUAUGUCUUAGAACUGUUUCUCCAAGACAUUAUCAAAAUGCCACAAUUUUAUUUGAAUUCCAGUGUAUUGGUUUUUAGCUGAAGUACAAUGAAAAUCGAUAGGGCAAAGUACUUAUUUUUACAAAUGCCAUCCUUAGACUCAAUAUUUUCUUUUCUUCUUGAAACCUAAUGGAGUGAGUUUAAUCUGGAUAAUUUUAAACCAUGGUAGUCUCUAUCAAUAUGGAAUAUACAUCAUAUAAUACACUGGGUGGCAUUUAAUUGUUAAAAACACAUUGAUCCAUUUUGUUUAAAUUGAACUUGUUAGAUAUGGCUGACUGAUGGGAUAAAUGUUAUUUAAGCUUCUAGAUGUAGUAAGGUGUAUUCAUUUUACCAAGUUGGUCUGCUGUUAGUCCUUCCCUCAGCUACGCUAAGAGCUGCUGGUAUGUGGUAUUGAGCACUGUUAAAGCCAACCCUUAAACCAAACAUGGGCUAAACAGAGUCCUAUAGACUGAGUCCAGAAAUUUGAGGUAUAUCCAUGGUGUCCAGCUGGACUGUGACCCAGUGCCACAGACCUAGUGCUGCACCCACAGCACUCAACAGGACACAGCUGUGUCAGACCUCAGAAUGUUGUGUUUGUCCAGUAGGUUUUGAAUGGAAAGUGUUAAAAUGUUUUUGUUAAAGUAAAGCUUGUUUUUGAAAAAACAAAAACAAAAACAAAAACAUUGAUCCAGAUAAGGUGGCAUGUGCUUGUAGUUCCAGACAUUGGUAUUGGAGGGUGGAGGUGGAAGUAGAACAGGGAAUCCCUUGGCUUCAUGAUUUCAAUCUAUCCUGGGAAACAUAGAGAGGCAUUCAUAUAACAGCAGCAACAGCAACAAUAACAAAAUUAAUAUAAAACAUACUUCAUCUUCAAGUAUGUUCUCUAUGCUCUACUGGGGAAACUAAAAUGACUUUUAGAAGUAACCAUUCUAUACACCUAGAUGAGUUCCAUGAGUGAGCAUUAUGUAAUACUAGAUGAUCAGACAGGAUCAUAUUCAAAUAUUCUUCAUAUAGAAAUGGACCAUUUCCUUGACUUGUAAAUUUUUAAAAAGACACAAAGUUGGAUGACAAGGGAAGGGAGGGUGGAACUUAGCAGAGUUGGGAGAGAAGGAAUAAACAUGAUCAAAUUGCAUUGGUCUGGAGGCUGUGCGUGUGGCUCAGUGGUAUAGCACUUGGUAGUAUAUGUACAACCCUUGCUUCCAUCCCCAACAUCAUAAAAACAAAUAGGUACAAUACAGUCACUAAAGUCAGUGCCAUGCUACCACUCUGAAGUUUGCAAGAGAAAAAUGGUAGCUACUUAAUGACAAGUUAAGAGUAACAUUUGAUGACUCGAUCUUCUUAGGAGAUAGACAUGGUCAAUUGGCAAGAAAUGUAAUCCCAAGAUGAUGCUCUCCCUCCUACUGUCACUGGCCUGACAACAUUGUCAUAGAGAGUACAGUGUGAGAAUAGGCAACAGUUCUGGGAACCUAAUUAACAUGUAUCAAUCAAAAGCUAAUUUUUCUUCAUUCUUUGCUUCUAGGCUACAUAUCAAUGUGCAUAUAUAUGUAUAUACCAUGUAUUUGUUUUAUACUAGAUGCACAUGACAUGGGAUUCAUGUAUAACCUAUAAUACAUGCCUAUAGAAAUAUAAAAAUUGUUCUUAUAUAUUCAUAUACAAUAUAAACACACACAUGUAUAUUAU
rnacentral:lncRNA from 1 species